UACGAAGGGGGCUAGCGUUGUUCGGAAUUACUGGGCGUAAAGCGCGCGCAGGCGGUUCUUCAAGUCAGAGGUGAAAGCCCAGAGCUCAACUCUGGAAUGGCCUUUGAGACUAGAGAACUAGGGUACGGGAGAGGUGAGUGGAAUUCCGAGUGUAGAGGUGAAAUUCGUAGAUAUCGGGAGGAACACCAGUGGCGAAGGCGGAGACCUGGGCCGAUACUGACGCUGAGGUGCGAAAGCGUGGGGAGCAAACAGG
rnacentral:rRNA from 1 species